CCUACGGGGGGCAGCAGUGGGGAAUAUUGCACAAUGGGGGAAACCCUGAUGCAGCGACGCCGCGUGAGUGAAGAAGUAUUUCGGUAUGUAAAGCUCUAUCAGCAGGGAAGAAAAAAGACGGUACCUGACUAAGAAGCCCCGGCUAACUACGUGCCAGCAGCCGCGGUAAUACGGAGGAUGCGAGCGUUAUCCGGAUUUACUGGGUGUAAAGGGAGCGUAGACGGCAGGGCAAGUCUGGAGUGAAAGCCCGGGGCCCAACCCCGGGACUGCUUUGGAAACUGCCAUGCUGGAGUGCUGGAGAGGUA
rnacentral:rRNA from 1 species